GUGUGCGAGUGCUGGAUGAUGUGUGUGCGUGUGCUGGAUGAUGUGUGUGUGUGUGUGCUGGAUGAUGUGUGUGUGAGAGUGCUGGAUGAUGUGUGUGUGUGAGUGCUGGAUGAUGGGUGUGUGAGUGCUGGAUGAUGUGUGUGUGUGUGAUUGCUGGAUGAUGGGUGUGUGUGAGUGCUGGAUGAUGGGUGUGUGAGUGCUGGAUGAUGGGUGUGUGAGUGCUGGAUGAUGUGUGUGUGUGAGUGCUGGAUGAUGGGUGUGUGUGAGUGCUGGAUGAUG